rnacentral:rRNA from 1 species
GUGGGGAAUCUUGCGCAAUGGGCGAAAGCCUGACGCAGCAACGCCGCGUGAGCGAAGAAGGCCUUCGGGUUGUAAAGCUCUGUCAGGAGGGACGAAGCCACUCGGGUGAAUAGCCCAGAGGGUGACGGUACCUCCAGAGGAAGCCCCGGCUAACUACGUGCCAGCAGCCGCGGUAAUACGUAGGGGGCGAGCGUUGUCCGGAAUCAUUGGGCGUAAAGCGCGUGUAGGCGGCUCGGCAAGUCCGAUGUGAAAGCUCGAGGCUCAACCUCGAGUCUGCAUUGGAAACUGCCCUGCUAGAGUCCGGAAGAGGGGACUGGAAUUCCUGGUGUAGCGGUGAAAUGCGCAGAUAUCAGGAAGAACACCGGUGGCGAAGGCGGGUCCCUGGGACGGUACUGACGCUGAGACGCGAAAGCGUGGGGAGCAAACAGGAUUAGAUACCCGGGUAGUCC